rnacentral:rRNA from 1 species
AACGAACGCUGGCGGCAUGCCUAACACAUGCCAGUCGAACGAGACCUUCGGGUCUAGUGUCGCACGGGUUCGUAACGCGUGGGAACCUGCCCUUAGGUUCGGAAUAACUCCCCGAAAGGGGUGCUAAUACCGGAUAAUGUCUUCGGACCAAAGAUUUAUCGCCUUUGGAUGGGCCCUCGUUGGAUUAGCUAGUUGGUAGGGUAAAAGCCUACCAAGGCGACGAUCCAUAGCUGGUCUGAGAGGAUGAUCAGCCACACUGGGACUGAGACACGGCCCAGAAUUCUACGGGAGGCAGCAGUAGGGAAUAUUGGAAAAUGGGCGAAAGCCUGAUCCAGCAAUGCCGCGUGAGUGAUGAAGGCCUUAGGGUUGUAAAGCUCUUUUACCCGGGAUGCUAAUGACAGUAACGGGAGAAUAAGCCCCGGCUAACUCCGUG